UACGUAGGGGGCAAGCGUUGUCCGGAAUCAUUGGGCGUAAAGCGCGUGUAGGCGGCCCGAUAAGUCCGCUGUGAAAGUCCAGGGCUCAACCCUGGGAUGCCGGUGGAUACUGUCGGGCUCGAGUCCGGAAGAGGUGAGUGGAAUUCCUGGUGUAGCGGUGAAAUGCGCAGAUAUCAGGAAGAACACCCGUGGCGAAGGCGGCCCUCUGGGACGGUACUGACGCUGAGACGCGAAAGCGUGGGGAGCGAACAGG
rnacentral:rRNA from 1 species